UAGAGUUUGAUCCUGGCUCAGGACGAACGCUGGCGGCGUGCUUAACACAUGCAAGUCGAACGGUGACCUCGGAGCUUGCUCCGGGCGAUCAGUGGCGAACGGGUGAGUAACACGUGAGUAACCUGCCCCUGGCUCUGGGAUAACCCCGGGAAACCGAGGCUAAUACCGGAUACGACACAGACAGGCAUCUGUACUGUGUGGAAAGUUUUUCGGCUAGGGAUGGACUCGCGGCCUAUCAGCUUGUUGGUGAGGUAACGGCCCACCAAGGCGACGACGGGUAGCCGGCCUGAGAGGGCGACCGGCCACACUGGGACUGAGACACGGCCCAGACUCCUACGGGAGGCAGCAGUGGGGAAUAUUGCGCAAUGGGCGAAAGCCUGACGCAGCGACGCCGCGUGAGGGAUGAAGGCCUUCGGGUUGUAAACCUCUUUCAGCAGGGAAGAAGCGAAAGUGACGGUACCUGCAGAAGAAGCACCGGCUAACUACGUGCCAGCAGCCGCGGUAA
rnacentral:rRNA from 1 species